AGCUAUGACAGAGACUCCACUUUCAACGUGUUUGUGGGAAAAGGACAGCUGAUCACAGGGAUGGACCAGGCUCUUGUUGGGAUGUGCGUAAACGAGAGACAUUUCGUGAAGAUUCCCCCAAAGCUUGCCUACGGAAGUGAAGGAGUUUCUGGUGUGAUCCCCCCCAAUUCAGUGCUUCAUUUUGAUGUACUUCUGAUGGAUAUUUGGAAUUCUGAAGACCGGGUUCAGAUUCACACCUAUUUCAAGCCCCUGAGUUGCCCUCAGACCAUCCAGGUGUCUGAUUUUGUGAGGUACCACUACAACGGGACGUUCCUGGACGGAACUCUGUUUGAUUCGAGAGAAGCGCAUCAUCACCAUUCCUCCUUUUCUGGCCUAUGGAGAGGAUGGAGAUGAGGAGAUGCAGGGUGGGCUUUGCCAAAGGCCACUGGAAGGAGCUCAGGCUUGGCGGCAUCUGGUUUGCUUGUCUGGGCCUGCUCCUUUGCAUGGUAUAACAAACGGGAAAGACAUUCCCGGUCAGGCAUCUCUGGUGUUUGAUGUUGCAUUAUUGGACUACUCUCAGAACCGCACGUUUGACACGUACAUUGGGCAGGGCUACGUGAUUCCUGGGAUGGAUGAAGGUCUACUUGGUGUUUGCAUUGGAGAGAAGCGAAGGAUUGUGGUCCCCCCUCACCUGGGGUAUGGAGAGGAAGGAAGAGCCCCAGCUUGGCUGUGCUGGUGUUUGACAUCCAUGUGAUCGACUUCCACAACCCUUCGGACUCCAUCAGCAUCACCUCCCACUACAAACCCCCCGACUGCUCAGUGCUGAGUAAGAAGGGAGAUUACCUCAAAUAUCACUACAAUGCCUCACUUCUGGAUGGGACCCUGCUGGACUCCACGGAGAGGGUGAAGCAGGCAGGAAGCUGCAGGCCGGCGGUGGAUGGGGCCAGGAAGCAUGCAGGGGGAGUGAGGACCGUGUAUGAGAGAAACACUGCCCAAGAGAGAAGAAAGAAAAUCACAGGACCCGAGGAAAAAGAAUGAGUGGUGUGUUCAGAGAUGACACAUGACAACAAAUUGUUUGCUUGGAGGAUUUUCUUACGCGUGCGUGUUUAAACUGGCCUCAAGGAGGAAGAAGAAACAUGCGUUCCUGGAUGACUGAGUUCUGGAAUAUUCUGUCAUAAGACUUUGCAACUGGAGUAGCCCCAGAAAAAGGCAGGCAGUGGGAGUUGGCUCCCUCCCCAAAGCCAUCCCUGAGUUGGCUUUGUUUUGGGUUCCUCCCAGGUGGAAUUUAGGCAAAACUUACAGUAUUGUUCUGGGAUCUGGGCAAGUUGUGUUGGGGAUGGACAUGGGUCUCAGAGAGAUGUGCGUUGGCGAGAAACGGACAGUGAUCAUUCCGCCUCACCUGGGCUAUGGGGAAGCUGGCGUGGAUGGAGAAGUGCCCGGCAGUGCCGUAUUAGUGUUUGACAUUGAGCUGCUGGAGCUGGUGGCUGGCCUUCCCGAGGGGUACAUGUUCAUAUGGAAUGGUGAGGUGUCACCCAACCUUUUUGAAGAAAUUGACAAGGAUGGCAACGGAGAAGUCCUCCUGGAAGAGUUCUCAGAGUACAUUCACGCCCAGGUGGCAUCUGGCAAAGGGAAACUCGCU
rnacentral:lncRNA from 1 species